rnacentral:misc_RNA from 1 species
GAACGCACCUUGCGCUCUAUGGCAAUCCGUAGAGCAUGCCUGUUUGAGUGCCGUGAAAUCUCCCACCCCAAGCGGUUUUUACAUGAAACGGCUUGGCGGAUGGGGUCUGGAUGGGUGCCUCUGCCUGCGCUACCUAGCACAGGCUCGCCCGAAAUGCAUGAGCGCCUUGAGACACUUUGCAUCCGCCUCUCUGUUUGGGAGGAGGCGGCCAAGCAGUGUUUUUCUCCUGGCAUGGCAUGAUACGUCAUUUGCUAUGUCACCUAAAGGAGGAAUGUUUGGUUGUGUCUGCGUGUGCUUCGAACUUGCCUCUGUGGCACAUCCCAAUUUCACUUCUGG